AAUCUAGCCAGUAGCCUUA
rnacentral:miRNA from 1 species